GCUGGCUUCGGUAGCACAUACACAAAAAUCGGAACGCUACAGAGAUGAUUAGGACGGCUGCUGCGCACAGAUGACACACAAAUGUGUGAAGGGUUCCAUAUUUUA